CUUUACGAUAUUUAAGCUCUGUUCUUAUAUUUAAUUUGAACCAUAUUUUGAUUUACUAUACAGCUUUAUAACAUCUUCUACAACUUGUAAACGUUAUUUACAAUGAUACUUCAGUCCAUUUAUUCAGCGUUUGUUGACAUCGUUGUGGUAGUCAACCACAUCGAUGGCAAGUCAUAUCACGAAAGGGUAAUUAGAUUUUAGAAAACAUGUACAGUCUGAAAUAAAAUGUUGUCCUCAAAUGUCGAGAUGGUAUACAGAUUUAGUGGUGUAAGAGUGAAGGUUGAAGUAAAAUCAAUUUAACAUUAAUGUAACCCUGUGGUUGAUUGACGGGUCGAUUUACUAACGUACGAUUUCAGUAUUGACAAAGCAACACAUUUGACAGUUCCGUCAAUCUCUCUUUAGUAUAGAGAUAAAUAUGGUUUGAUAUAAAACUUAUAAAUCAAAUCAAAGCACUUGAUUGCAUGCUAUAUAUUAUUUUGCUAUUUUUCUUGAGCUUUUCAACCUCACAAUAUAUAACAACCUUUUUAUCAAUGAGGUUUAUAUUUUUAUGCCACCGCCGUAGCGGCAUUAAGUUUCACCCUUGUCCGUCUGUACGUCCGUACGUCCCGAAAUUGGUUUCCGUUCUCUAACUUUAGUUUGUCUAAACCAAAUGUUAUGAAAUUUAUGCACAACGCUUAUUACAAGAAAACACAGAUCAUGUUUGAAUUUGGGUUGCGUCACUUUUACCUUGCUAGAGUUAUGCCCCUUUACAAAUGGAUAAAUUACUGCCCCUUUACAAAUAGAAAAAUUGUUGAAUUUUUCGUUUCCGUUCUCUAACUUAAGUUUGCCUCUACCAAAUGUUAUGAAUCUUAUACACAAUACUUAUUACCACAAAACACAGAUAAAAUUUGAAUUUUGGUGGCGUCACUUUUACCGUUCUAGAGUUAUGCCCCUUUACAAAUGGAUAAAUUACUGAAUUUUUCGUUUCCGUUCUCUAAAUAAAGUUUACCACAACCAAAUGUUAUGGUACUUAUACACAAUGCUUAUUACCACAAAACAGAUCAAGUACGAAUUUUGGUAGCAGCAUUUUUAUGGUUCUUGAGUUAUGUCCCUUUAUAACGUUAUAUGCAAGCGGGGGCUCAUCUGUGUACAUGGGACACAUUACCCGUUUAUUUUACCUAUGGCGAUAACUUUUAUUCCUUUCACUGUACUUGAUAAUCAGAAGAAAUUUAUAAAGGUUGUCUUUUUUUUGGCAGAAAUUUUCAAAAAUUACUUGUGUGUAAGUAUAUGGAUCUCUCUGAAAUUGUACAACAUGGUUCUAUAUCACAAAGGGAAAGCUUGGAUUGAGUUUGGGGGUAAUUGUCCCAAACGUUCAGGAAUUAGGGGCAAAAAAGGGGCCAAAAACAAGCAUUUUUAUGCGACUGCAAAAAAAUUUUGCGGUCGUAUAUUGGUAUGACGUUGGCGUCGUCGUCGUCGUCGUCCGAAGACACAUUGGUUUUCGCACUCUAACUUUAGUUUAAGUGAAUGGAUCUCUAUGAAAUUUUACCAUAAGGUUCAAUACCACAAAAAGAAGGUUGGGAUUGAUUUUGGGGGUUAUGGUACCAACAUUUAUGGAAUUAGGGGCCAAAAAGGGGCCAAAAAUAAGCAUUUUGUAACUUCCAGACAUAACUUGUGUGUUAGUGUAUGGAUCUCUCUGACAUUGUACCACAAGGUUCCAUAUCACAAAGGGAAUGCUGGGAUUGAUUUUGGGGGUAAUUGCCUCAAAAUUUUAGGAAUUAGGGGCCAUAAAGGGGCAAAAAACAAGCAUUUUUCUAGUUUCAGGACAAUAACUUGUGUGUAAGUAUAUGGAUCUUUCUGAAAUUGUACUACAAGGUUCCAUAUCACAAAGGGAAAGCUGGGUUUGAGUUUGAGGGUAAUUGCCUUAAAAGUUUAGGAAUUUGGGGCCAAAAAGG